GUACGUGUCCUCGCUUCCGUUCCACUUCUAACCGUCAUGGGGAACGAGUGAACGUGAAGGGCAAGGCUAGCUUUUUGAUUACACAGGCUAGCAGCAAACGUCUAAUCUCAUUCAUAUUUGGUGAACAAUUAGGCGCAAUUUUUUCAAGCUAAAUUUCAAAAUGAAUAUCCUAAGGAACGUGAAACCCGUCGGAGUUACAAGCUUUCUCAUUCUUCCUCAAAAUGGAGUCGUGGACUUCGGCCCAGGAGGUUCCUCCCCGCAGACGGACAGGGCCCCAACCAUUGACACUCACAACGGAAAUUUGGGCUCAAAUAAUACUUCAAAACAGCGGCCGAGUGCACUCGCGGUGCCUACAAAAAAUGGGUAUGCACAAAAAAUUAUUCGGGAGGAGGACAGCGACAACGGAUCUUUGCCCAGCACCCCGGAGCAGCACUCCGACAGUGAACUCGAGGUCUCCGGAUCCCAAGCUAUGUACGAGGCGUUAGAGGAAGACACCAGGCAACUCAUGAAACGUUUCCUGGGAGAAUUUACGGGACUUUUGAAUCCUCGGUGGAAAGAAAGAAAAGAUCUAGCAACAAUGAAGAGAGUUGUGGACGACGUAUUGGAGAAACACAGAUACGCAUACAAUGGUAUGGUCAACAAACUGUCAUUGGAUGACAGGGAUGAUAUGAGGUUCGUCAGUGCAGUAGCCAAUAGCCUCUUUGGAGACGGGACCACCAACUGGGGCCGAGUCGCCAGCCUGGUCGCCUUCGGGGCUGUGGUAUGUCAGUACUUGAAGGAGAAGGGCAGAGAGAACUGCGUGGAGCUGGUGGGAGAGGAGAUCUCGACAUACCUGCUGACUCACCAGAGGGACUGGCUGGUCAAGAACAACUCCUGGGAUGGCUUUGUGGAGUUCUUUCGAGUAGCAGACCCGGAGUCCACAGUGAGGAACACACUCAUGGCCUUUGCUGGAUUUGCUGGUAUCGGGGCAACACUGGCCCUGUUGAUCAGUUACGAGAGAACCAAGGGUCCAAGUUUGGUUCCUGCCCCUCAAAAAGUCCCUGCUUUGGUGGUACAGUAGUACUUUCCGACGGCCGAAGAACUGUCAUGGCGGAGUUUGCUGUACUGAGUGUUGCUGAUUGGUCAGACACAAGCCUCAAGGCUGCUACAACCUGUGGAUGGCCUUCACAAAUGGCUUUUGAUGUUUCCAACGUGUUGCCCACUUCCCUGAUUUCUCUAAUGAUUACGUCUGAGUGCUACUACAACCCAUCACUUCCUGUUUAUCAGAGGAAUUCCCCAUCUGUCUGUGCAGCAGGAGCCCGACAGCUGAGAGAGGAUCAGGAUCAAGGCUCCGAAUAGCUGGAUGACAACAUGCUCUCUAAAUACAAGGCAUCACAUCAGGAGGGUUGUGAUAUAAUGUGAGGACCAACUCUCGCUUUCAAAUGAAACCUGGAAUAAAGUUCAUCAGCCCUAAAAAAAAACUGCAAAGACACGACUGUCUCAGUGUGGCUCUACAGCACCAUCAUCUACUGCAUCUUCCGUCGCUAUCGGACUGAACACUUUCCUGUGUAUUAUCAGAAUUACAGCGUGACACCUUUAUUUUGAAACAACAACAACCUGCAACUUAUGGCACAAUUACUUCCUUCAAUUGCACUUAUUACUCUUAUCCAGGGUUUUGAAUAACCAUGCACUUUAACAUUUUUAUUUUUUUUUUACCAUUUCAUGACCUUCACUCUUUCCUAUUUGUGCACAGAGCACUUAUAAUUUGUGAUUAAAGGGUCAGUUCACCCAAAUCACAAAAAGACAUUUUCUCACUCACCUCCACUGGUAGCUACUGUAACAGAACCAGUAGGUGUUGUGGAGAAAAUAAAAAAAACUGACACACAAAUGACUAAUUUGUGCUUUUGAUUUAAUAUUGUAUUAUUUUACCCUUAAAUGGACAAAAACACUCCUUUAGUGCAGCACAUUCAGUUAGCAGAACGUGUAAAGAAGAGAAAAAAUAAUGAUGAUAAUAAGCUUUAUUUAUAUAGCAAAGUGCUGCACAAGACAAUAAAAAUACUUGCUUUAGUUCUUGUUUCUGGAAAUAUCUGUUGCUUUCGAGUUAAUCAGGUGUCAUUUCUGGACACCUCAUUCAUCCAUGAAAUCCAAUUCACUUCUCUUGUGUUUGUGUGGCAGCAGAAGUUUCAGAGACAGUUUCAUGUCAUCAGAGUUAUCUCAGAACCUUAACACAUAAAACUGAAACUGUCUGCACGGCUCAAUACCACUGGUAGUGGUAAGUCAGAGAAAAUAUGUUUUUUUGUGGCUUGUGGUCUAAAUUAAUCUUCCCAGCUGAAUUUAAGGAUUCAAAUCUGUGACUUUAUUUUCAUUACUUGGCUCUUUAAUCUUGAGGUUGUCCUGCUUUUGUUUUAAAACAACACUUUUUUAUUGAUAUGAAGACUCAAUAAUGCAAAAUUGAUCCAAUAAUCUUUAUUUUCUAUCUUUUUGAUCUGUUGUGUACGGAUGAGGAUAAGGGCCAUGUGAAAAAAAAAAAGAACAUUUUUAAAUUCUAAUCUUGAUAAUCUCAACCAAAAGAAAAAAUAAUAAUAAUCUGAAUGCUUAGAAAGACUUUACUAAUUACUUAGACUUUAUUCUCAGAAUUAAAAUUCUUCUUACUGGACAUUUUCUCAGAAUUCUUUAACUUAUUGUUUCUCAGAAUCAACUAUUACUUUGUCUGAAUUCAGUAUUUUAUCAUUUAUUUUUAGAUUUCUGACAUAAGUCUCAGUAUUCUGAGAUUAGUAUGAGAACUAGAAUAUAUACUUUUUUAUUUGGCCCUUAUGAUCUUCCAUAUGGUUUUCCCUUUGUGUUAAAGAAUGUUAUUUUAUUACACUGUUUCAACAGUUGAAAACAAACCUCACAUUAUUUCCUAAAUAAGCACGUGAUCAAACCCUCCAUGAGUUUUCUAAUGGACCAUCUGUUCUUUAUAUAAUAUAUACUGACUCUCAGCACGUUUCCAUUCACCUGUUUUCAAUUUGCGCAUAAAAAAAAACUGUGGAAAUGUGGAAAAUUUGAUGUAUCAAUAAAAAAAAAUGUAUCCACAACAGACUUAGAUAAUAAAUCAUGACGUACAUGAAGCAUGUGACCAACCUCUAAAGCUUCCAGUGAAAAGACAAAGAAAGCUGCAGGCGAAGAGGAGAAAGUCAAACAUAAAACAAACAAAGGCCAUAUUUCCAUCACAUGGCGUCCAACAUUUAAGGUUCAACUGUGUCUCUUUUAAUUAUAUGCAAUGCAAUGAGACCAACUCCUAAUAUUUGCGCAACAGUUGUGGAUGGAAACGUGCAUUAUUUCACAUUUUCUUUUACCAAUUUUCUUCAAAUUCAGUUAAAAUGCACUUUACAUUUGGACCAAACUUAGUUAAUAUGACUCCAGAUGACACUUCUGUUUACUUCUUUUCUUCAGAUUACAAGAUAGUUGUCAUGGAACUGAAUUUGUUGUAUGAAAAUGCUUUGCUGUUUGCACUUUAUAAAGUUUUCUAUGACUGUAUUUUUUUUUAUCCUGCAGCUAAUUUGAAUAUGAAAUAAAAGUAUUCUAUUCCAGA